rnacentral:lncRNA from 1 species
AUGGAGAAGAAAGGAGGAAGGCACAGCUGUGAGGAAGAAGAAGGUGCAGAGAGGCUGGGAGGGCUCACCUUGGCCUUGAUGAUCUGCUCCAUGUUGGAGGUGACAUCGUCCAGCUCCAGCUUAAACUCGCUCUUCUCCUUCUCCAGCUUCUGCUUCACCCGCUGCAGGUUGUCGAUCUGCUCGCUGAGCUCGGCCACGCUGUCCGCGUGCUUCUUGCGCAGCGCCGCCGCCGUGGCCUCGUGCUGCAGCGUGGCCUCCUCCAGGUCGCGCCUCAUCUUCUGGAACUCGGCCUCGCGUUUCUUGUUCAUCUCGAUCUGCACGGACGUGGCCCCGCCGGCCUCCUCGAGCCUCUCGCUGAUCUCCUCCAGCUCCCGGGACAGGUCUGAGCGCAGCUUCUCCACCUUGGCGCGGGCGGUGCGCUCUGCCUCCAGCUCCUCCUCCAGCUCCUCGNUGCGCUGGAUGGCGUCCGUCUCAUACUUGGUCCUCCACUGGGCCACCUCCGAGUUGGCCUUGGACAGCACACGCUGCAGCUCGGCCUUGGCCUCCGUCUCCUCCUCAUACUGCUCCCGCAGCAGGUCACAGUCAUGCCGGGCCGACUGCAGUGCGUGGGCCAGGGCGUUCUUGGCCUGGGGAGAGGCGAGCACCAGGAGGUGGGUCAGCUUUCCCCUGCCCUUGUCCAUCUCCUCUCCCCAACCUCAACUCCUGUGUCCAAGACCCCAGUGGACCCGGGACGAUUUAGAGCACCAACAGCAAUGAAGGCUGAUGCAGCACUGUCCACCGCCCUGUGCACCUCACUGCCCAGCAUUAUUGGCACCGCUGUUGGGCGUGGGGGUGACAGAGGCUCAGAGAGGCCAGGGGGUUUGCUUCUUCAAGAUCACCACACUAUGAGGCAGGUUAGUAU